rnacentral:lncRNA from 1 species
GGGUGUGUGUGGACGCUGGGAGCCGCGGGGGGAGGCCGGCGUCGACUCAGAGGAGUUGCAAUCGAGUUCAGGACGUCUCAGUGUGUUUAACAUUUGUCAACAGGCCCAAGGACUCACAGUUGGAAGACUGGAGAAGACUUUUUAAAAAGAUCUGGAUUUUUCCUUAUGACUUGGAAUCCAUCUUUGUCUUGUAUAACUAGGUCAUAGCACACCAUUCAUGUCAGCAGUUAACAGUUUUGAAUUCCAAAAAAACCUAAAGCAGUAAACAGUCCUCAGCGAAGCCGCCUUUUUGCCUACCCAACCCUGGAAAGUUUGCAGAAGUGGAAGGAGCAGAACGUGAGGGUGUAACUUACAAAAAGGUUCUGGGCCGGAGAAGGGGCGACGUUCGGGCACCCCCCGAAUGGACAAUCUUUCCUUCUGUCAACGGCAGGGGCAGGCCUAGUUUGACUCUGACAGUCCUCCCACUAAGGAAUUCCUGGUGACUGGAAGGGGGAGUGACUCAGGCCCUCAACCUCUAGCAGGUAAGGGAGCUACCUCCUGGGUGGGCAUGCCCAGUUCCUCAGUGGGCCCAGCGCGGCCCAGCCUCCGAGGAAGCUCUGAGCAGCUGGCUUGGCUCCGAGGUAUUUUUAGCUACAGAUCCAGCCCCCCUCCAUCACCACAACAGUCGAGUCCAAAUCAAACGCGCUCCAGGCAGGUGGGGCUGGGGUUCUGCCAGCCUCCUGGCCAGCAGGGGUGGGUGGGCAGACUGGGGCCAGUAUCAGCUGUUCUGCCUGGACCCAGGCCGGGCUGGGAAGGCACACUUGUGCUUAUUUCCCGCCUCCACUUCUGUGCAAGCUUGUGCUGUCAUAAGCAGAGAUCACAGCCCCAUUUCUUGGAUGGAGAAAGUGGACACUGAGGUCUGAGGCUUUUGAGGACAGUCAGGAGCCCUCCUAUGGGCUCCAGUGAUGCACUCACCAGCUUCUGGUCCUCUUCUUCCACCUCUUAGAGUGCCUUGGCUCCCUCCUGUCGUCCUGGGGAACCUCGGCCCCAGCCCUGCCUCCCCAGCCAGUCACAGCUCCUCCCUGGUCACCCUGAGGGAGCUCAGGGCCCGGCUGGUAGCUGGGUUGCUCUGCUUCUGUCCCCCACUCCUGUGGAGCCUGGCAGGCAACUCCAUGAUCUGACCCCGGUUACCUUGACAGCCCUGCCUGGCCUCCCCUCUCAUGGCCCAGCCACCCCAGAACCUGAAGAGGUUUUCUAGCUGCCGUGCAUUUGCCAGGCUGGGUUACCCACCCUACUUUCCCUGCCUGCCCUCCAGUGCUGCCAGGCCUAGUGUGCCAGCCAGCGCUCAGCCUUCAGUAAAGGGUUCCCCUGCUUCCAACCUCCAUUGCACUGCUUCCCCUAAGACUGUGACCUCCUGGAAGGCUGGAGCACAACUGCCUCUCAAUAAACGUGUUGCAAAAAAGGAA